UUUUUCAUUUUUUUUUUUUUUUGACAGAUAGGUAACACGUUACUCGCUUCGUUUAUUUUAUUUAGAAAUAAACUUAACUAAAAAUAUAAAUCAACUAGAAUUCGAAUUUGGAUUUCGGGUACCAACCAUUAAGUCCUUUGCCACUUGUUCUAGGGACGGUCGGUCCUUUUUUCAAUGUGUGCACCAAUGUGUCCUCUUUUUCAAAUUUUACCUCU
rnacentral:lncRNA from 1 species